rnacentral:rRNA from 1 species
CCUACGGGAGGCAGCAGUGAGGAAUAUUGGUCAAUGGACGAGAGUCUGAACCAGCCAAGUAGCGUGAAGGAUGACUGCCCUACGGGUUGUAAACUUCUUUUAUAUGGGAAUAAAAUGGGUCACGUAUACCUUUUUGUAUGUACUUUAUGAAUAAGGAUCGGCUAACUCCGUGCCAGCAGCCGCGGUAAUACGGAGGAUCCGAGCGUUAUCCGGAUUUAUUGGGUUUAAAGGGAGCGUAGAUGGGUUGUUAAGUCAGUUGUGAAAGUUUGCGGCUCAAACGUAAAAUUGCAAUUGAUACUGGCAGUCUUGAGUACAGUUGAGGUGGGCGGAAUUCGUGGUGUAGCGGUGAAAUGCUUAGAUAUCACGAAGAACUCCGAUUGCGAAGGCAGCUCACUAAACUGCAACUGACACUGAUGCUCGAAAGUGUGGGUAUCAAACAGGAUUAGAUACCCCAGUAGUC